AGGAGACAGCGCGAGGACGAUGAAGUUCUUCCAUGCCCUGGACGCAAUCCUGCAGUCUGAACCGACCGCACAGUUAACAGAGGAGAAGGAUGGUUGCAGCAAGUGCCUGGCAACCCUGAGCCCAGUUACCGCCCCAGAGAUCGCCGAAGAAACAAUGUCUACACCUGUCAAGAAAACAUCUCCUGAGACCACUGCAAACUGGUUUCCUCAAAGCUUAACAGAACUGGAAGGUUCUACAGGAUGUUUCUUCCAUCAGGACCCUCACCUCCACCAGGUAAGUUUCACACAUGUUGAGAAGUAUAAAAAUAUGUAGUAUUAUUAGCCAUUGGUUUUAAUUUCCCGUUCUGAGAACGGGACCACUCACUGACGAGGACAUGCUCAUUUCCUAAUUAACAAAGUAUCAAUCGUCUCCUUUCCUUUACUGUAACAAAAUACAGGAAAGCUAGAAGCUUUGUACUUUCUUUG
rnacentral:lncRNA from 1 species